AGAGUUUGAUCCUGGCUCAGAACGAACGCUGGCGGCGUGCUUAACACAUGCAAGUCGAACGGGAUCCAGAGCUUGCUCUGGUGAGAGGCGCACGGGUGAGUAACGCGUGGAUAACCUGCCCUGGUAUCCGGAAUAACAUCUCGAAAGGGGUGCUAAUACCGGAUAAGCCUACGGAGCCUUCGGUCUCUGCAGGAAAAGGUGGCCUCUAUUUAUAAGCUACCGUAUCAGGAUGGGUCCGCGUACCAUUAGCUAGUUGGUGGGGUAAUGGCCUACCAAGGCGACGAUGGUUAGCUGGUCUGAGAGGAUGAUCAGCCACACUGGAACUGAGACACGGUCCAGACUCCUACGGGAGGCAGCAGUGGGGAAUUUUGCGCAAUGGGGGAAACCCUGACGCAGCAACGCCGCGUGAGUGAUGAAGGCUUUCGGGUCGUAAAGCUCUGUCAGAGGGGAAGAAAUGAGAUUGGCUAAUAUCCAAUUUUCUUGACGGUACCCUCAAAGGAAGCACCGGCUAACUCCGUGCCAGCAGCCGCGGUAA
rnacentral:rRNA from 1 species